rnacentral:rRNA from 1 species
UGCCUAGGAAUCUGCCUGGUAGUGGGGGACAACGUUUCGAAAGGAACGCUAAUACCGCAUACGUCCUACGGGAGAGAGCAGGGGACCUUCGGGCCUUGCGCUAUCAGAUGAGCCUAGGUCGGAUUAGCUAGUUGGUGGGGUAAUGGCUCACCAAGGCGACGAUCCGUAACUGGUCUGAGAGGAUGAUCAGUCACACUGGAACUGAGACACGGUCCAGACUCCUACGGGAGGCAGCAGUGGGGAAUAUUGGACAAUGGGCGAAAGCCUGAUCCAGCCAUGCCGCGUGUGUGAAGAAGGUCUUCGGAUUGUAAAGCACUUUAAGUUGGGAGGAAGGGCAGUAAGUUAAUACCUUGCUGUUUUGACGUUACCGACAGAAUAAGCACCGGCUAACUCUGUG